GCUGUGAUGGGUAGGGGAGCGUCGUGUGCCGGGUGAAGCAGCCGUGGAAGCGAGUUGUGGACGGUUCACGAGUGAGAAUGCAGGCAUGAGUAGCGAUUCACACGUGAGAAACGUGUGCGCCGAUUGACUAAGGGUUCCUGGGUCAAGCUGAUCUGCCCAGGGUAAGUCGGGACCUAAGGCGAGGCCGACAGGCGUAGUCGAUGGAUAACCGGUUGAUAUUCCGGUACCCGCUGUGAAGCGUCAAACAUUGAAUCCAGUGAUGCUAAGCCCGUGAAGCCGUUCCGGACCCUUCGGGGAAUGGAAAGUGGUGGAGCCGGUGGCCCGAGCUGGUAGUAGGUGAGUGAUGGGGUGACGCAGGAAGGUAGUCCAUCCCGGGCGGUGGUUGUCCCGGGGUAAGGGUGUAGGACGUCAGGUAGGUAAAUCCGCCUGGCAAUAGUCUGAGACCUGAUGCCGAGCCGAUUGUGGUGAAGUGGAUGAUCCUAUGCUGUCGAGAAAAGCCUCUAGCGAGUUUCAUGGCGGCCCGUACCCUAAACCGACUCAGGUGGUCAGGUAGAGAAUACCGAGGCGUUCGGGUGAACUAUGGUUAAGGAACUCGGCAAAAUGCCCCCGUAACUUCGGGAGAAGGGGGGCCAUGUCUGGUGAUGAGUCUUGCACUCUGAGCUGGGUGUGGCCGCAGAGACCAGCGAGAAGCGACUGUUUACUAAAAACACAGGUCCGUGCGAAGCCGUAAGGCGAUGUAUACGGACUGACGCCUGCCCGGUGCUGGAACGUUAAGGGGACCGGUUAGUCACAUUUCGGUGUGGCGAAGCUGAGAACUUAAGCGCCAGUAAACGGCGGUGGUAACUAUAACCAUCCUAAGGUAGCGAAAUUCCUUGUCGGGUAAGUUCCGACCUGCACGAAUGGCGUAACGACUUCUCGACUGUCUCAACCAUAGGCCCGGUGAAAUUGCAUUACGAGUAAAGAUGCUCGUUUCGCGCAGCAGGACGGAAAGACCCCGGGACCUUUACUACAGUUUGAUAUUGGUGUUCGGUUCGGCUUGUGUAGGAUAGGUGGGAGACUGUGAAGCAUGCACGCCAGUGUGUGUGGAGUCGUCGUUGAAAUACCACUCUGGUCGUGCUGGAUGUCUAACCUGGGUCCGUGAUCCGGAUCAGGGACAGUGUCUGAUGGGUAGUUUAACUGGGGCGGUUGCCUCCUAAAGAGUAACGGAGGCGCCCAAAGGUUCCCUCAGCCUGGUUGGUAAUCAGGUGUUGAGUGUAAGUGCACAAGGGAGCUUGACUGUGAGACCGACGGGUCGAGCAGGGACGAAAGUCGGGACUAGUGAUCCGGCGGUGGCUUGUGGAAGCGCCGUCGCUCAACGGAUAAAAGGUACCCCGGGGAUAACAGGCUGAUCUUCCCCAAGAGUCCAUAUCGACGGGAUGGUUUGGCACCUCGAUGUCGGCUCGUCGCAUCCUGGGGCUGGAGUCGGUCCCAAGGGUUGGGCUGUUCGCCCAUUAAAGCGGUACGCGAGCUGGGUUUAGAACGUCGUGAGACAGUUCGGUCCCUAUCCGCUGUGCGCGUAGGAAUAUUGAGAAGGGCUGUCCCUAGUACGAGAGGACCGGGACGGACGAACCUCUGGUGUGCCAGUUGUUCUGCCAAGGGCAUGGCUGGUUGGCUACGUUCGGGAGGGAUAACCGCUGAAAGCAUCUAAGCGGGAAGCCUGCUUCGAGAUGAGUAUUCCCACCUCCUUGAGAGGGUAAGGCUCCCAGUAGACGACUGGGUUGAUAGGCCGGAUAUGGAAGCCCUGUAAGGGGUGGAGUUGACCGGUACUAAUAGGCCGAGGGCUUGUCCUCAGUUG
rnacentral:rRNA from 2 species